rnacentral:lncRNA from 1 species
GAGUGUUUAUAGGACCCAGAUGAGACUUGGCAGAGGGCUGAGCUGAGCACGGAGUUUACACAAUAUGUCACUCUUUGCCCUCAAAAGCUUGCUAACCAAAUAAACAGGACCAAGAGCCAGAGGAAAGAAGAGAAAUGACUGGCCAAGGUCACGCAGCAGACACUGGUGACAGUGGUGGGACUAGGUCAGAGGUUGCCUAAAUCCUAGGACAGCACCCUGUUGCACAAGGCAUGGGACUUUUUGCAGAGAGGAUCUCAAGGCUCUAAGGAUUCAGGUUUUUUGUUGUUGUUGCCUUCCCUCUGUUCCUGUUAUAUGUGACCAGCGGCAGCUGUGGUGUCGGCUAUUGCCAAAGUAGUAAAUAGAGUCUUCUAUCCCCACUGAAAGGAGAGUGAAUGAUGUAAUUUGGCUCCUUUUCCUUCCCACUGUCUGCCAAGACAUUAUUUCUGUAUCAGUGCACAUGGCCAUUUGGCAUCAAACGAGAGCCCUCUCUUUGUGUAAGUGGAGGCAGGAUGUUAAUUCUUUCCGAUGUACCAGUAACAUAUCUGGAAAGGCGCAGCAGCAUUUCUUUCAGGAGGCGACGGACUGUCCGUGUUCCCUAACAAAAAGGGAGUGUGUGCUCCUUUCAUUGCACGUGGAGCAGCUGAGAAGGAAAACAAAUGGGAGUCCUGGACAAACGAUGGAUGCCAGUGGAGGUGCCAGAACCACCAGGCAGGUGAUUGUGGGUGUCUUUUGCACCCUGUGUCUACCUCUAUAAGGAGAGAAUGAGGCUGCUCUCAUUCAGAUGUAGUCUCUUCUGGAUGGAUGUGCCCUAUGUCCCAGCUAUCGUUGUCCUCAGAAAACCUGGUUCAUCUCCCCUGGAUGAACUGACCCCGGCUUUCAUAUUAACUUUUCAUAUUAAGGUAAGUCUUCUCAUAGUAAGGUCAGCAAUGACAGCACCGCAUCAUUCUCUAGCAAAAUAGUUACUUUGGGAAUCACGAGCUGCUACAUCUUUCUGAAAGGCAGCAGGAUCUCUGAAAGGUAUUUUAUUAGCUUGAACCAAUGUGAUGAAGGUUGUAUAAAUUCUCCCUCCCGUUUCCACAUAUCCAGGGCAUGCACAUUAAAGGGGGUUUCCACAAACUCAGUCGAAGUCAUGGCAUUGAAAGCUGUGCUCAGCCAUAACUUUAUAAGAGAGGUUUGCUGGCUAUGUAACACCAUCACCAUGGUUUCAUCAGUGCAAACAUUUAUAGCUCUGACAAACUCUCUUCUGCUGAAGAAAGCAGCAGAAAUCCUCUUCAGCAGCUGUUGCUUCUUCUCCUAAGCGUGAUAACAUUUUCUGACUUCAUGCAUCGUGCUACUCAUCUUUAUAACUCUCACUUUUCAGAACUGUCAUCUAUCAACUUAGUGGUCCACUAUUGACCACUACAGAGUACAAAAUUCAGUUCUUUGCCACUCUUG